UAGUGUGGUGUCAAAUGCUUGUCUGGCACUAAGGGAUCUGUUGACUGACUAAUAACGUUAGCUGAGACCACCAGGGCAUUCUUUUAGGCAUUUGUAGCAUACACGUGGUGUAAGGGUUGGCAAAAUGCUCAUCAAGGUCCAGUACCGUGGACUAAAAAAGUACCUCAAACUGCAGCCUGGUUUUUCUUAUGAAAGUUUCAUUGAAGAAGAAUUUGUGCCAGCAGGUUCUUCUACUCUAAAUUCUUCACUUUUCUGAAGAACAAGGGGCAUCAAUCUCCUGGUGCAGGAGAGAACACCUCUGCCAUAGGGGAUGCAGAAGAAAAGGCCAAAUGGAUGGUCCAGGAGGUUCUGGAGAAGAGUUCAGGGG